AGGAAUACAUGGGAAUCUGCCCAGUCGUGGGGAUAACGUAGGGAAACUUACGCUAAUACCGCAUGCGCCCUUCGGGGGGAAAGCCGGGGACCUUCGGGCCUGGCGCGAUUGGAUGAGCCCAUGUCGGAUUAGCUAGUUGGCGGGGUAAUGGCCCACCAAGGCGACGAUCCGUAGCUGGUCUGAGAGGAUGAUCAGCCACACUGGAACUUGAGACACGGUUCCAGACUCCUUACGGGAGGCAGCAGUAGGGAAUAUUUGGACAAUGGGCGCAAGCCUGAUCCAGCCAUUGCCGCGUUGAGUGUAAGAAGGCCCUCGGGUUGUAAAGCUCUUUUGUCCGGAAAGAAAAGCGCCGGGUUAAUACCCUGGUGUCCUGACGGUACCGGAAGAAUAAGCACCGGCUAACUUCGUG
rnacentral:rRNA from 1 species